AACGAACGCUGGCGGCAUGCCUAACACAUGCAAGUCGAACGAGACCUUCGGGUCUAGUGGCGCACGGGUGCGUAACGCGUGGGAACCUGCCUUUAGGUUCGGAAUAACUCAGAGAAAUUUGAGCUAAUACCGGAUGAUGUCUUCGGACCAAAGAUUUAUCGCCUUUAGAUGGGCCCGCGUUGGAUUAGCUAGUUGGUGGGGUAAAGGCCUACCAAGGCGACGAUCCAUAGCUGGUCUGAGAGGAUGAUCAGCCACACUGGGACUGAGACACGGCCCAGACUCCUACGGGAGGCAGCAGUGGGGAAUAUUGGACAAUGGGCGAAAGCCUGAUCCAGCAAUGUCGCGUGAGUGAUGAAGGCCUUAGGGUUGUAAAGCUCUUUUACCCGAGAUGAUAAUGACAGUAUCGUGAGAAUAAGCGCCGGCUAACUCCGUG
rnacentral:rRNA from 1 species